GUGUACUUCUUUUCCUCAUAGUAUGAGUCCGUGUACUCCAGGAGCAGACGGAUGGCGUGAGCCAGCUGGGAAGACGCCCAAGCCAGAGAAUCGGCUGGAGAACGUUUUCAACCUUACGGAUGCCCGAAGCCUGUCACAGACCAAUGAGCCGGAGCCCUAAGCACGGGGGCCUCUGCUGUCUCCAAAGCUCACCGGGGGAGCCCCUUGCGGACCAGGGCGAUGCUUUAGAACCAUAGCUCCCUGGCAAGGAAAAUCUUCAAUCUUCUCUGAAAAGAAAACAGAAAAUAACCCAAACAUGUUUAUAAUCCACUGCAAGAGCGACUGUACAAAGUUCAUCUGCAAGUAUGAAGGGCUCUCAAGACUGCAGUUUUUGUUUGCAUCCUGCCUUGCCGUGACAUUUGAAGACAUGGUCAGCAGCGUGACACAUCUUGGCAAGACUUCCAUAGUACCCCGCUGAUGUUGGUUGAAUACCGUCGCUGGGAAAGCUCUCCUCUCACAAGGAAUAUCAUGAAGUAUCCUUACUAAACUCCACUUAAAAGUCUUUGGUCUU